GCCGGCGAGGGUGAUGUGGGCGCUGCGAGAACUUGGUGUGUGGGUGCACCAUGUGAGCAUGUCGAGCUUGAAAGAUACGAUGGUGGUGGACGUGAUGGGGACAGUUCCGGCGAGCUCAGGGCUGGAAACAGGAGAGAGGAUGAGGACUGCUCUCUUGAAUAAGAUAGCGGCGGAGUGAAGCACAGUCUGUGCAGCAUGUUACUUGGUUAAGAUCGCUG
rnacentral:misc_RNA from 1 species